UUUUUUUUUCUAUUUGACUACAAAAUCUGAUAUUUUAUAUUCAAUAGGAACGAUGGCAAAUGCAAAAGAAAAGGGCAAAUUGUGUGAUCAAAUACAACUCCCUGUAAACAAAGAUGGGUUGUGUGUUGAUUCUGAAUGCCAAAAUAAGUGUCGCGAGGCAAAAGGACCGAAGGGGUUGAGUAAAUGUUUUGGGUCAAAAGCCAAAAAGUCUAUGAAUUGCUAUUGCGGAAUUCUUUGUUAACGUGCUGGUUAAGUAUGGUGAAUAAAUAUGAUGCUCAACCAUGAUAGCUUUGAAGUAUUUUUUUUUAUUUUUCUCUGUUUUUUUUCCUGUACUAGAAAAACACUAUAAUAUUUUUAUUCGAAGCCUUAUAAUAAAGUAUUGAAAUGUUUGUUUCGGAUUUGUUGCAUUAUUUAUAAUAAUGAAUAACAUAAAUUUUAAUCAAGACACAAUGGUUAGUAUAAUCAGUGAACUUUUAUCUUUUUAUUGUAUUUAGUUAAUUCCGGCCAAUUGAACUUAAUAUCUUGUUCACUUAUUUUUUCUAUUUGGGCUAAAAUAAUAUUACCGUCCACAAAAAUAAGAAUCUGAAAGUGAAAUUAACUUUCUGAUUUUUUUUUUAAAUAUAUCAAUGACAAACCAUUCUUUAAAAUCCGACCCCAGUGAAAACGUCGUAUGUUACUAAAGGAAAGAAAGACAAAUGAAAAAAAAGAAUAAUUAAUUCCCUAGACAUUAUUUGAGAAGUAAUUUAUCAUAUGUCAUCACCAAAAUGAUUUUGAAAGAAAAAUGAUAACAUGGACUAUAACUAAUUAUGACAUGAAUAUUUACAUUUAAUGUUAUUUAUAUUUUUAGUAAGUUUUUUAGAAUAAGGUAAUACCUCAUAAAUAUAACUAAUUUAAAAAUAAAUAAUUUAAUAAAAAUUUAAAAAUAAUAUUUUUUUUUAAAAUCGAUAAAUAUGAUGCUCAACCAUGAUAGCUUUGAAGUAUUUUUUUUUAUUUUUCUCUGUUUUUUUUCCUGUACUAGAAAAACACUAUAAUAUUUUUAUUCGAAGCCUUAUAAUAAAGUAUUGAAAUGUUUGUUUCGGAUUUGUUGCAUUAUUUAUAAUAAUGAAUAACAUAAAUUUUAAUCAAGACACAAUGGUUAGUAUAAUCAGUGAACUUUUAUCUUUUUAUUGUAUUUAGUUAAUUCCGGCCAAUUGAACUUAAUAUCUUGUUCACUUAUUUUUUCUAUUUGGGCUAAAAUAAUAUUACCGUCCACAAAAAUAAGAAUCUGAAAGUGAAAUUAACUUUCUGAUUUUUUUUUUAAAUAUAUCAAUGACAAACCAUUCUUUAAAAUCCGACCCCAGUGAAAACAUCGUAUGUUACUAAAGGAAAGAAAGACAAAUGAAAAAAAAGAAUAAUUAAUUCCCUAGACAUUAUUUGAGAAGUAAUUUAUCAUAUGUCAUCACCAAAAUGAUUUUGAAAGAAAAAUGAUAACAUGGACUAUAACUAAUUAUGACAUGAAUAUUUACAUUUAAUGUUAUUUAUAUUUUUAGUAAGUUUUUUAGAAUAAGGUAAUACCUCAUAAAUAUAACUAAUUUAAAAAUAAAUAAUUUAAUAAAAAUUUAAAAAUAAUAUUUUUUUUUAAAAUCGAAAUUUAUAUAAUUCUGUUUAUAUAUUUUUAUUACAAAAACAAAACGUCAAAAUUUUAGGCAGAUUGUUUUUUAAAAAUUAAUUGUAAUUUUUAAUCCCACUACCAUUAAUUUCUUUUUAAUUUUCUUUUUUUUGACAGCAAGAAAAUUUACAUACUCAUAAAGACUCCGUAAACCAAGGUAGUAACUCUGUAUCCAUGUGUAUGACGAACGACGGUUGUAUCCUAGCACUGCGUGCCAAGCGAUCCGCCAUUUUAUUGUCCGUCCUCGAUACAUGAAUAACUUCUGAAUUGGUGAAGCUUCUUCUCAAAAGUAUGAUAUCCUCCAGGUAACUCCCAAAUGCUGGCCAUUCCUCUGGUUCCGAAACCAUCUUCACCAGUUGAGAACAAUCCGUUGCGAACGUAACCUGAAACUGUCUUAAAUUUUUCAUACAUUCCAUUGCCCAAGUCAGUGCUUCUAUCUCCGCAUGAAGAGGUGAUAAACUUGCCCUUAUGUUUCUUGCCCCUAACAGUCUCUCAAACCCUGGAAGUGUACUGAGCCAACCUUGGCCUGAGAAACCAUCUUUAUCCUUCCAAGAACCAUCCGUAAAACACCAUCUACCUGUAGUCACUAAGGGCAAUCUGCCUUGAACUUCAGGAAUGACCCUUGGAUUAUUGAGAUUCUGCGCUUCAUUCCAGAGUCUAGACUCUAAUUCUGCUAAUUUUAACGUCUCUCUCGGCUCAACAUCAAUAUUACUGAAAACCUUAUUAUUCCUGCCCUUCCAAAUAUACCAUAGUAUCCAUGCAAACUGAUGAUCCUCCAUUUUCGAGUUAACUCUCCAAAACAAAUGAUCCAUAUUAGUAAAAAGGGAACCAGUUGGAAAAAUAUUUGGAUUUGAUGGAAUCCUUGAUAGUGCCCACACUUGUCAUGCCGGAGGACAUUCAAAAAAAACAUGAUUAACUGAUUCCUCUGGAUUUCCACACCGUGCACAAACAGUAUCUCCUUGUAUUCCUCUUGAUUUUAAGUUCUUUGUCACUGCUAUACAACCUGUUAUCAACUGCCAUAUAAAAUGCCGUAACUUUGGAGGGCACUUAACUUUCCAACAAAAAGCCUAAAGUAUAUCCACAUUGGGACCAUAAUAAUCUGGUGGUUUUUCCUUGUCAGGAUAAAUCCUUUCUACUUGAUACCCUGAUUGUACCGAAUAUUUUCCAUUGUUAGUGAAAUGCCAACCAUUUCUAUCUUCCAUCUGAAUUCUACUCAGAGGAAUACCUUCAAUCAACUUUGCAUCCUCGGGCUCCACCAAAGUCCUAAGUGCCUGUAAAUUCCAAGUGCGAGAUUCCUGAUGAAUAAGGGAAUCCACUGUAAGAUCCGGGUAACUAUUGUGAAAAUUUUUAUUAGCUGGUCUCGGGCGAGUGGAUGGGAUCCAGGGAUCGUUCCAUACUGAGAUAGAUGAUCCUGUACCCACCCUUUUAAUUAGUCCUUUACAAACCAGAGAUCUAGCAGAGGUGAUACUCCUCCAGCCAUACGACGGGGAAUAUGAGCGAAUCGGAUCCAGGGGUGAAGCAUUCCUGUAAUACCGUCCUUUGAAAACUCGAGAGAAAAUAGAAUUUGGCUUCUCGAUCAGCCUCCACAAUUGCUUUCCAAGCAUUGCCGUAUUAAAAUCAUUAAGAUCCUUGAAACCUAACCCACCAUUAUCUUUGGUUUCACAUAAUUUAUCCCAUGAUUUCCAAUGCAUACCUUUUGUACUUCCUCCUGGACUCCACCAAAACUGAGCAACCGCACUCGUUAAUUUCUUCACUGUGGCUUUCGGUAAUCGAUACACCGACAUUACAUGGUUUGGUAGGGCCGUUAUGACUGAUUUAAUAAUCACCUCUUUUUCCCUUUGGUGAAAAAUCUAAAAGUCCAACCAUUCACCCUAUUAUUCAACCGAUCUUGUACAAAACCAAACACCUGAACCUUGGAUCCUCCUAAGCUUUCCGGCAAUCCCAAAUAGGAACCCAUUCCUCCUAAAUUCUGAAUCCCCAAAAUAUCUCGCAAUUCCUGACGGCUUGAUUCCUCAAUCUUAUGUCCAAAUUGAAUUGAAGAUUUUUGAAAAUUAAUUUGUUGUCCUGACACAGCCUCAUAAUCCUUUAGUAUCCUAAGAAUAGUAUGACACUCUUCUUUAUUGGCCUUGCAAAAGAACAAACUAUCAUCCGCAAAUAGCAGAUGAGAAACAGCUGGACACGCUCGGGCUACCUUCAUACCGGUUAAUUGUUUCAUCCGCUCUGCCUUUUUGAUAUUCAUAAUUAGAGCCUCUGUGCACAUAAUAAAUAAAUAAGGAGAUAAUGGAUCUCCCUGCCGUAAACCCCGCUUAGGGAUAAUGAGACCUCGGGGCUGCCCAUUGAGUAAAACUCUAUAUUGAACUGAAGAUAUACAUUCUUUCAUCAAUUUAACCCAAUGCGGGUCAAAUCCCAUUUUAGUAAGUAAGGCCUCAAUAAAACUCCACUCUAUCCGAUCAUAUGCCUUACUCAUAUCCGUUUUAAUUGCCAUAAACUUAUUUUGACAGGAUUUGUUGGAUCGCAACCCAUGAAACAUUUCCUGCGCAAUAAGAAUAUUGUCCGAUAUUAACCUUCCUGCCACAAAAGCCGAUUGCGUCUCCAAAAUUAAAUGGGGAAGACAAAUCUUCAAUCUUUGACACAAAACUUUCGAAAUGAUCUUAUAACCAACGUUACAUCCGUCCUUUGAAGACUCGAGAGAAAAGAGAAUUUGGCUUCUCGAUCAGUCUCCACAAUUGCUUUCCAAGCAUUGCCGUAUUAAAAUCAUUUAAAUCCUUGAAUCCUAAUCCACUGUUAUCCUUGUGUUCACACAAUUUAUCCCAUGAUUUCCAAUGCAUACCACGUGUACUUUCUCCUGGACUCCACCAAAACUGAGCAACCGCACUCGUUAAUUUUUUCACUGUGGCUUUCGGUAAUCGAUACACCGACAUUACAUGGUUUGGUAGGGCCGUUAUGACUGAUUUAAUAAUCACUUCUUUUCCCCCUUUAGUGAAAAAUCUAAAAUUCCAACCUUUCACCCUAUUAUUCAACCGAUCUUGUACAAAACCAAACACUUGAACCUUGGAUCCUCCUAAGCUUUCCGGCAGUCCCAAAUAAGAACCCAUUCCUCCUAAAUUCCGAAUCCCCAAAAUAUCUCGCAAUUCCUGACGGCUUGAUUCCUCAAUCUUAUGUCCAAAUUGAAUUGAAGAUUUUUGAAAAUUAAUUUGUUGUCCUGACACAGCCUCAUAAUCCUUUAGUAUCCUAAGAAUAGUAUGACACUCUUCUUUAUUGGCCUUGCAAAAGAACAAACUAUCAUCCGCAAAUAGCAGAUGAGAAACAGCUGGACACGCUCGGGCUACCUUCAUACCGGUUAAUUGUUUCAUCCGCUCUGCCUUUUUGAUAUUCAUAAUUAGAGCCUCUGUGCACAUAAUAAAUAAAUAAGGAGAUAAUGGAUCUCCCUGCCGUAAACCCCGCUUAGGGAUAAUGAGACCUCGGGGCUGCCCAUUGAGUAAAACUCUAUAUUGAACUGAAGAUAUACAUUCUUGCAUUAAUUUAACCCAAUGCGGGUCAAAUCCCAUUUUAGUAAGUAAGGCCUCAAUAAAACUCCACUCUAUCCGAUCAUAUGCCUUACUCAUAUCCGUUUUAAUUGCCAUAAACUUAUUUUGACAGGAUUUGUUGGUUCGCAACCCAUGAAACAUUUCCUGCGCAAUAAGAAUAUUGUCCGAUAUUAAUCUUCCUGCCACAAAAGCCGAUUGCGUCUCCGAAAUUAAAUGGGGAAGACAAAUCUUCAAUCUCUGACACAAAACUUUCGAAAUGAUCUUAUAACCAACGUUACAUAGGCUUAUCGGUCUUAGUUCCGCCAUCCUGGUAGGUCUCUCGACUUUUGGGAUCAUACAGAUGUUUGUUAUGUUUAAACGUGAAUCCAUAUCUCCUGAGUUAUUGAUCUUUGUCGUAAAACCAUCAGAAAUGCCUUCUUGAUUUUCUGUCCAUCCCGAUACAAUUGAUUCCAUGAGUCCUUCUUGGCCAAUCCAUCGCUUAUCAAACCUGAAUUGUCCUCUUUUCCGUCCUGGGGCCUUAUCGUCCAAAAAGCUACCACUGGUCUAUGAUCCGAUCCCACCAUUCUCAAAUAUUCUGUAUAAGAAUAUGGAAAAAGUGUAUGCCAUUACUCGUUAGCCAAGGCUCUAUCCAGACGACAUCUAACCGUAAAUGCUCCUUUCUCUUUACCUCUUCGUCCUUGCCAUGACAUUUUAUUACCUCGAGCCGGAAAUUCAAGCAAACCACUAUUUCUAAUCAUAUUAUCGAAGGGGUUGAGUAAAUGUUUUGGGUCAAAAGCCAAAAAGUCUAUGAAUUGCUAUUGCGGAAUUCUUUGUUAACGUGCUGGUUAAGUAUGGUGAAUAAAUAUGAUGCUCAACCAUGAUAGCUUUGAAGUAUUUUUUUUUAUUUUUCUCUGUUUUUUUUCCUGUACUAGAAAAACACUAUAAUAUUUUUAUUCGAAGCCUUAUAAUAAAGUAUUGAAAUGUUUGUUUCGGAUUUGUUGCAUUAUUUAUAAUAAUGAAUAACAUAAAUUUUAAUCAAGACACAAUGGUUAGUAUAAUCAGUG
rnacentral:lncRNA from 1 species